CAAUAGCGUAUAUUAAAGUUGUUGCAGUUAAAAAGCUCGUAGUUGGAUUUCUGGGAGGGUGCCGCCGUCCGGCGUGUCCGUGUGCAGUGGCGCCCUUCCAUCCUUCUGUUAGCGUCUCUUGGCAUUCAUUUGCUGGUGGUGGGCUCAGAUAUUUUACCUUGAGAAAAUUAGAGUGUUUCAGGCAGGCUAGGCCGGAAUACAUUAGCAUGGAAUAAUGGAAUAGGACUACGGUCUCUUUGUUGGUUUGAGGGACUGCAGUAAUGAUUAAUAGGGAUAGUUGGGGGCAUUAGUAUUUAAUUGUCAGAGGUGGAAUUCUCAGAUUUGUUAAAGACUAACUUAUGCGAAAGCAUUUGCCAAGGAUGUUUUCAUUAA
rnacentral:rRNA from 1 species